rnacentral:lncRNA from 1 species
AACCAAAGUGGAAGCCCUGAAUUUCCUUAGUGAUGGAUGAUGACAUCUUGGCAUGUGGUGGUUUGAAUAUGCUUGGUCCGAGGAGUGGCACUAUUAGGAGACAUGGUCUUGUUGGAAUCAUCUUGCAUAUCGCUCUUUGGCAAUGAUCAGGGACAUGGCAGAAGAAGAUUGGAAGGAGGACUUGUGAUUACCAUAGUUUUGACAUGGGCUGGUCACUAUGAAGACUGCUCAUGCCACAGGUGCAUUCACUCCAGGACACUUGGAAUUUGCUUCUCUGCACCAGAAAGAUCACUAAGUAGACAGGCACACUCCUGGAGAUGUGAUAGCUUCUGGCUACCAAUGUGUUGCCUACACACUGACUUCCUAGUGGCCCUUUGAGCCAUUUAUCAUCUGAACAACAAAUAAGACAGAAGAACUAACCUAGACUUGGGCGUGCUUGCAUGAAGAAACAGCCAGAGAGAUUCCUCUCUGCCAAGUUGGUGUUCAGUGUUUCUAUGUAUUGUAACCUAUUUAGUUUGCCUAGCAACAAGAUAAAGUAAAUAGUAUCACUGUUAUGAUGGUGUAAAUGAAAAGGAUUCAGUAGGAGACAGAAUGGGUCUAAGUCAACCUUAUGUCUUCAGAGACUAAUUCUGGAGAAGUCUCCCAGUUUUUUAGGAGAUACAUAAAAGAUUGUGUGACAUUUUAAUCUAAAAGCAUUAUUCCUAGACUCUCAAGGCAUCUCACUUUAUCUCAUCAACAUCUCACCGCCUCUUCUGUAUGCUCUGUAAUGUCUCCAGUAAUCCCACCAAAAGGCUAUGAGUACCAUGAUGAUAGUCUUUUCAUCCUGUUUUUGCCACCUGAAAAUGUCUACUCCCUUUCCUUGUGAAUCCAUAAGUGUUGCUCCUGUGAUUAUGUGAAUAAUCUUGUCACUUCCAGAAAUCCAUUAGGACAACGUCCACAAGUCAUGAGUUAAGAUGGACCAGUACACCCACCUGUCAUCAGAGCUCAUUUAUAAUGCUACAACUGUAUCACUAAACUUCAUGAUCCUGUUCUUAUACCAUGUGUAUCAUGAGUACCUUUAAUUGUGUGUAUAUUUUAAGGAAUACGUUUGUAUUCAUUAUUAAUGCUGCUUCCCUAUAGUGUGAUCACAUUUUUCACCAUGUGAAUCUCCAGAGUCUAAAUGUAAGAAUAAAGAUGACGCUGUCUCAGGACA